UACUAAGCAUCAAAUGCGUUUUACAUUGGUAACUGCAGUACUGAAAUUGUGAUAUUUUAAAUAUUUUUUUCAAAAGAGGUUAGUGAUUUUCUAGGAAAUAUGAAGAUCCAACUAUGAACAGAAAUGUAGCCAGUCUGGGUCACUACGAUUUAGUUAAUGCUUAUCUUAACAGGUGUUCAUGUUUCCUGUCUACAAUAAAGUAGACUAUGAACUUCUUGUCUCUUUGAAUUUUAGC